AUUCCAUGAUGAGGGCAGUUUUUAAUCAUCAUGUUAAAACGCUCAAACGCCUCAUGGAACAUCUCACCGUGUUGUUGUUGAAAGCUUCUCAAUCCCUUCCGCACAUC
rfam:Helianthus annuus linkage group 6, whole genome shotgun sequence.